rnacentral:rRNA from 1 species
CCAGAGAACUUAGCAGAGAUGCUUUUGGUGGCCUUUCGGGGAACUCUGAGACAGGUGCUGCAUGGCUGUCGUCAGCUCGUGUUGUGAAAUGUUGGGUUAAGUCCCGCAACGAGCGCAACCCUUAUCCUUUGUUGCCAGCGGCUCGGCCGGGAACUCAAAGGAGACUGCCGGUGAUAAACCGGAGGAAGGUGGGGAUGACGUCAAGUCAUCAUGGCCCUUACGGCCAGGGCUACACACGUGCUACAAUGGCGCAUACAAAGAGAAGCGACCUCGCGAGAGCAAGCGGACCUCAUAAAGUGCGUCGUAGUCCGGAUUGGAGUCUGCAACUCGACUCCAUGAAGUCGGAAUCGCUAGUAAUCGUAGAUCAGAAUGCUACGGUGAAUACGUUCCCGGGCCUUGUACACACCGCCCGUCACACCAUGGGAGUGGGUUGCAAAAGAAGUAGGUAGCUUAACCUUCGGGAGGGCGCUUACCACUUUGUGAUUCAUGACUGGGGUGAAGUCGUAACAAGGUAAGCGUAGCGAG